ensembl:lncRNA
CUGAAUUAAGACUUCAGAAGUCAUUCCUCAUGUCGAAUGACCAGCGGAUAAACUCUCAGACUGACUGAGAAACCUUUGCUUCCACUAAAAAGAGGAAGAGGAGGAGGAUUUGACUUUGAACUCAAAGUGUUGAUCUGAUAUUACCAAGUGUGGGAUGAAGAACACGUCUGUGCUGUGCCUGCUCUUUCAACCAGUCCAGUGUCGUGUCAUUGAUGUUGAUGUCGUCUCUCCGUAUGAGUGCUCAGUUAUUCAGCCAGCCACUCAGUCUUUCAGUCAGCUAGUCAGUCCUACCGUUCCAGCUUUGUUCAUUCACC